CAUACUCUCCCUCCUAAUCAUACCCUCAUCCUCCUCCUCAUCCACUUAACUUUUCCUUCUUCCUCUCAUCCUCUACUUCGAGUCUCUGUCUAAAGAAGGAAGGCCUCAACGAGACAACCCGAGCCGCUCCCUGCCAGCACGACAAGGUUCAUAAAGUUGCAGGGAGGCAGUGAGGAGGCAGGGAGGAGGCAGUGAAGAGGCAGGGGGAGGUGGCCCUUUAGUAGCUAAAUGCUUUGGGUUUAAGCGGCGCAGGUUUUGGAGUCAUGCUGGCGUGUGACUAUCUUGGGAGACUCGCUGCCUCCACAAGAAUACUAAAGAGGCAAGUUGAGGUCCAGUUUUCCUUUUAUUUCUUUAGUCUCUUCGCCUUUUCGUUAGUGUGCUGUGCUGUACUCCGUGCACUGCGAUGGCUCUGCUGUUAGUUGCCAUGCCAGAGAGAGAGAGAGAGAGAGAGAGAGAGAGAGAGAGAGAGAGAGAGAGAGAGAGAGAGAGGAUCUUGGGGACGUUUUCAAAAGGGAUUAUAGAUCUGUAGGAACCUGUGAUACCCAAGGUGUAAAAAGUUCCCCGUGACACCCAAAAGACUUGAUGGAUAUUAUUAGAGACGCUUGUUGGUAAUAUUUAGAAACAGCACUGGAAUAGACUCAGCUCCAGUUAUUAAAUGCCAUUCACUUCACACAUAGGUUUGCUCUUCCGUGCACCAAAGUAUCAACGUCCACAGCACCUGGUUAUGAUUUUGACCUAGUUAAAGAAUUUGCUGUUCGCUUAAUCCCAUCCCUCAACGUGGCUUAGGCUCAUGCAACCCUCCCCUGUGUGUAGAUGAAGCCCGUGGAGGUGUAGACGUAAGAGUAUAUCAACAAGGCAGAUGGAAGAUUGACAUGAGGAAAUCAAUCAAGACUCUAGAAUAUGUUGAUCGCCUAAUUCCAUAUUUUAAAGUGUCUUAGACUCUUGCAACGUUCCUCUGUGUGUAGAUGAAGAGCGUGGAGGUGCGGGUGUACGAGUAUGUUAAUAGUGAAGAUGGAAGACUGAAAUAAGAAAAUCAAUUAAGAGUGUGAGCGACGUGGAAGAACAUUCUUUUCCUAUUUUUGGAGGCGAAGUGAGGUUGCUAUGGUCAAAAAUUCAGAGUACCUCAUCAUAUUAGCAGGUAAUCUAUUUUCUCCAACUUUUCUUUUUAAUUUCCUUCCCCCAAAUAACUUUUUUCCGAGCCUUUGUCUUUCCCUUCUGCUGCGAGUACCUGGCCAACCCUUCGCUCGCUAAUCACCCAUCAACACCUGACGUUUUGUUGGAAACCCGCCCUGCCGAGUUGUCACUUCUUUUUCAUUACGAAGACUUCAGGAUUACGUCACCACCGGGAGCCUAACGCCUUCUUUUGUCAGAUCGAAGGAUGCUAAAUUUAGACUUCCCUUUUUUGCUCCUUGAAAUUGGGUUCAUUAAUUCUCGAUCAGUUAGAAUUUUUUGCGAGAACCUUUUUUUCAGAUUUUGUUACGGGUACCUGAUAUAUAUUUUCAUCUUUGCUCAUUAUGGUAUGCUUGUUUUUAAUAUUUUCUUUUUUUUUUUGUUUUGUUUUUAGUAAAGUUUCUCUUAAUGUACCUAAUUAGUUUACGUUCUACAUGUUAUUUGUUUUUGCGUACCUAUGUUGAGUUUGAAUUGUUCUGGUAUUCAUUUUGCUUUACUUGAUUAUCUUUUUUUUUUUCAUAUUGUAUCUUUAACAUAGAAUUAUUAUUAUUGUUAUUAUUAUUAUUAAUUUUUUUUUUCAUUAUUUCGACUCCAUUUGCGUCUAUCAAAUCUUUUUACAAAUGGUAGGCAAAAAUUAUUAAAGUUUCUCUUCACGUUGUCCUCAUUCUCAGUUACAUGCGUUUUUGUGAACAGUUUUAGCUUCAUGUGUCAUCAUCUUUCAUCAUGUACAGUUUUCCUUUCUCAUGCACUGCUGCUUCUUGCUUUCAGGUGAGCGUGUGAUCUCUCUAAUUAGCGUAGCGGCACAUUUUAACUGUCGCUGUGCGUGUAGGAAUUCCCUGCAGGGCGAGGCUCGGCACACGCCUUGGACGCGGCGUCAGGAUGACCUUUGACCUUCGGAAAGCCAGGUGAGUACUCCACUUUACCUCGGCCACCCCGGAGACAUGAACUUAGCGUGGCCUUGCGUCACCUUCCUUCAUCAAUAUUUCCACCCAACCUUGUCCAUCUCUGCCCUCCGCUCCUCCACCAGCGUCCUCCGUAACCUCUGACGCAUUAACCUUUCUUGUGUGUUUGAGCUCUUCACUACCAUUCUAAUCUCUCUCUGAAAGACACCACUUGCACAUCCUAAUUGACCCUCGAGAAUGCCCCUUACUGGUCCGUUUGAAGUUAAUCCCUUCGCCCUUCGUACCCUGCUUCAAUGUUCGUUUUUAUACAUGAGUCUGGUGAUGUGUCAUAUGUGGAGAUUUUUUUCAAAUGUGAUGCUCAGCUCGAUACUUCUGUCUGUUCGGUGACCAGUCACUGAUAAUGGCAUUGGAAAACACUGCAGGGUAUCUCAGAUUAGUGAAAUAAUUUUUGCUCGCUACAUUAUGCGUGGGUGAUAAUGGAAAUAUUUCUUUACACUCAAUAUGCUACUUCGUCACGCUUUCCAUUCACAACCACUUGAAUAACUGCCGUACUGUACACUAUUAUGCUAAUAUACAGAAGUUUAAAAAUAUACAUUUUUAUUGGAAAGCAGCAUAUGGUGUUAUUUCCUGUUUUCUCUUACCCGUAUUCCCACCUCAGUAUUCGUAGAUUUCCACGAGCACAUUGUAAUUUUUCAAGUCCAUCCGCUGGAAGUUUAAUUUUCUUUGAGCAAAUUUACACCCUAAGCGGUCGCGUUUUCUGUCAUCGGAACGUAGCGGAGCGAUCCACGCGGACCGCUGUAGGCGUAGGGGCGCUGCAAUAACACUGGCUGUCCACCACGCUCCACUCCCUCACAAUGGCGGGGAAGGACCAAUGGCUUUGUUCCCUGCGCCCUCAGUCUGAGUAGAAGCAGCUUUUGUUGAAUGUGGGUUUUGUCCUCUUGUUGUUGUGCUGUUGUAUUGUUUUCCUUGUGUUGUGUUGACUCGCGUUAGGUCUCUUUCUCAGUCAGUCCACGUGUAUGUUGUCCAUUCUUGUCCCAGUUUGCGUCCUCGUCAGUAAUGAUUCUGCCUUGAUUCAGUUGAACUUCCUGGAAUUCUUGUAUGCGAUUUAUUAUUUCAUCUGGGUAAACAUGAAGACGUUCUUAAUGCACGUGGAAGAGAGGAACGGGAAACGGAGACGUGUAGGAGAAAAGUUAACGAAGAUAUGAGAGAGAGAGAGAGAGAGAGAGAGAGAGAGAGAGAGAGAGAGAGAACUGCUGCAGGAAGAUGUAUUAAAAUGCUGAGACAAGAAAAGUGAUAAAAGGUACACGCUGAGGAACAUGGGGCAGGGUGCUGGGGAAUGGAACUGAAGCCCUGGAUAGCAAUUAUACUUAUUUUUUUUUAUAUCCAUUCUUAAUCAUUCACCUUAAAACCAUAAGUUGGGCUCCAUGUUUUUAAAUGGUCCACAAGUCCACCGAAAGGGAGGAAUACAAAAAGGAGAAAGAGGAGGAGGAGGAGGAGGUACGUAGGUGAUGUUGAGGUGGUAGGAGACGACACGCUGUAAAGGAGCUUGGAGGCUGCUUAUGGUAUGGACAUUUAUAGCACACCCUGCGCGACUGAAUUUAUAAAGGCUCAACGCAGGUAAAUGUCCUGCGCACCUACUGCUGCUGCUCUUCAGAUCUCCAUAAAAAUAAAUAACUAAAUAUAUUAAGGUAGAAUAGAUUAAUUAAUUGAUUUUAUUAAAAUAGAAUAAAAAUAAACGGCUCUUUAAGAAAAUGACAAGUUAAUGAUUAACAUUAUAUUUAAGACUUGGCUGUCUUAUCAUUCCUGCGUACUGUGAUGUUUGUCAGUGGGCGAAACAGUUAUUGCUUGGAAACGUGUGUCUCAGGAAGCUUUUAUAAAGGAGCCUUGUACAGUAUAUCCCGAAACGUUAUUAGAAAAAAAAAAAAGGAAAUUUUUCUGGUUUGUCUACAACAUACUGAUCAACAUAGUAAUCAACAUAGGCUUUUCAUUUUCUCACAAGAGUGUGUGUGUGUGUGUGUGUGUGUGUGUGUGUGUGUGUGUGUACUAGACACUGUUAUGUUCUUAUUCGUAUACUUAUAACACCUACCAUUGUGUGAGGAACAGAGGAGGUGAAAUGUAUCAAUAGGAAAGUAGUGUAGCUGGAUGUGGCAGCCAAAACAAGUUGUCUCCAGAGUGAGGUGUGUCACCCGGGACGCAGGACUUUUGAACUGUUUGAUUGAGGGACAAGUCAUAAUGCCAACACAAUCGGAGGUGUCGUGUAAACAUCCAGGUAACCACUUCCCUGAUACAAUAACGAGCUGGUUGGAUGGAGAGCAGACUCAUCCCAGAUGCAAGGACUUAACGAACGAGCUUAGUCUGUAUCCUAUACAACCCUAUACAAGUUUUAUUUGUAUAAAUAAAGA